rnacentral:rRNA from 1 species
UGAGGAAUUUUCCGCAAUGGGCGAAAGCCUGACGGAGCAAUACCGCGUGAAGGAAGAAGGCCCGUGGGUCGUAAACUUCUUUUCUCAAGGAAGAAACAAUGACGGUACUUGAGGAAUAAGCACCGGCUAACUCUGUGCCAGCAGCCGCGGUAAUACAGAGGGUGCAAGCAUUGUCCGGAAUGAUUGGGCGUAAAGCGUCUGUAGGUGGUUUUUAAAGUCUAAUGUCAAAUCCCAGAGCUCAACUUUGGACAGGCAUUAGAGUACUUAAAGGCUAGAGUAUGGUAGGGGUAGAGGGAAUUCCUUGUGGAGCGGUGAAAUGCACAGAGAUAAGGAAGAACACCAGUGGCGAAGGCGCUCUACUGGGCCAUUACUGACACUGAGAGACGAUAGCUGGGGGAGCGAAUAGG